GGGGAAUAUUGGACAAUGGGCGAAAGCCUGAUCCAGCCAUGCCGCGUGUGUGAAGAAGGUCUUCGGAUUGUAAAGCACUUUAAGUUGGGAGGAAGGGUUUCUGGCUAAUAUCCAGGAAUUUUGACGUUACCGACAGAAUAAGCACCGGCUAACUUCGUGCCAGCAGCCGCGGUAAUACGAAGGGUGCAAGCGUUAAUCGGAAUUACUGGGCGUAAAGCGCGCGUAGGUGGUUCGUUAAGUUGGAUGUGAAAGCCCCGGGCUCAACCUGGGAUGGGAACCCAAAUGGGGCGGGUGAGAGUAGGGAGGGGGGGGGGGGAAUUUCCUGUGUGGGGGAGAAAUGGGUAGAGAUGGGGAGAAACAUCAGGGGAGAGGGCGACUGCCGGGGCAAACACUGACACUGGGGCACAAAAGCGUGGGGAGCAAAAA
rnacentral:rRNA from 1 species